UACGUAGGGACCAAGCGUUGUUCGGAUUCACUGGGCGUAAAGGGUGCGCAGGUGGCUAAGUGUGUUAGGCGUGAAAGCCCGGGGCUUAACCCCGGAAUUGCACCUAAAACUACUUGGCUAGAGCAUUGGAGAGGGAGCAGAAUUCAUGGUGUAGCAGUGAAAUGCGUAGAUAUCAUGAGGAAUACCAGAGGCGAAGGCGGCUCCCUGGACAAUUGCUGACACUCGAGGCACGAAAGCCGUGGGGAGCAAAAGGG
rnacentral:rRNA from 1 species